GACGAACGCUGGCGGCGUGCUUAACACAUGCAAGUCGAACGGAAAGGCCCUGCUUUUGUGGGGUGCUCGAGUGGCGAACGGAUGAGUAACACGUGAGUAACCUGCCCUUGACUUUGGGAUAACUUCACGAAACUGGGGCUAAUACCGGAUAGGAGCUCCUGCUGCAUGGUGGGGGUUGGUAAGUUUCGGCGGUUGGGGAUGGACUCGCGGCUUGUCAGCUUGUUGGUGGGGUAGUGGCUUACCAAGGCUUUGACGGGUAGCCGGCCUGAGAGGGUGACCGGCCACAUUGGGACUGAGAUACGGCCCAGACUCCUACGGGAGGCAGCAGUGGGGAAUAUUGCGCAAUGGGCGGAAGCCUGAUGCAGCAACGCCGCGUGCGGGAUGACGGCCUUCGGGUUGUAAACCGCUUUCGCCUGGGACGAAGCGUGAGUGACGGUAAUGGGUAAAGAAGCACCGGCUAACUACGUG
rnacentral:rRNA from 1 species